CCCGACUGCUACUUGGGUGAGAAUAAGCCAUGCAAGUCGAAUGGAAUCCCUAAAGUUUCCAUGGCAGACUGCUCAGUAACACGUGAUCAACUUACCCUAUGGAAAACAAUAACCUCUGGAAACGGAGGAUAAUGGUUUAUAGUUGAAAAGGCUUGGAAAAGUUUUUCAAUAAAAAGGAAUAAUAAAAAUGGUUAUUAUUUCGCCAUAGGAUAGGAUUGCGGUCGAUUAUGGCUGUUGGUGAGGCAAUGGCUCACCAAACCGAUAAUCGAUAGGGGCCGUGAGAGCGGGAGCCCCGAGAUGGGUACUGAGACAAUGACCCAGGCCUUACGAGGUGCAGCAGGCGCGAAAACUCCGCAAUACACGAAAGUGUGACGGGGUUACCCAAGGUGCUUAAUUUUUAAGCUGUGGUAGGUGUGUAAUGUACCCUACUAGAAAGGAGAGGGCAAGGCUGGUGCCAGCCGCCGCGGUAAAACCAGCUCUUCAAGUGGUCGGGAUAUUUAUUGGGCUUAAAGAGUCCGUAGCUUGUAUAAUUAGUUCCUGGUAAAAUCUAAUAGCUUAACUAUUAGUAUGCUAGGAAUACUGUUGUACUAGAGGGCGGGAGAGGUCUGAGGUACUUCAGGGGUAGGGGUGAAAUCUUAUAAUCCUUGAAGGACCACCAGUGGCGAAGGCGUCAGACUGGAACGCGCCUGACAGUGAGGGACGAAAGCCAGGGGAGCGAGCCGGAUUAGAUACCCGGGUAGUCCUGGCCGUAAACGAUGCACACUAGGUGUUGGUAUGGCUAUGAGCCGUAUCAGUGCCGAAGGGAAACCAUUAAGUGUGCCGCCUGGGAAGUACGGUCGCAAGGCUAAAACUUAAAGGAAUUGGCGGGGGAGCACCACAAGGGGUGAAGCCUGCGGUUCAAUUGGAUUCAACGCCGGAAAGCCGAAUUCCAGCACACUGGCGGCCGUUACUAGUGGAUCCGAGCUCGGUACC
rnacentral:rRNA from 1 species